rnacentral:rRNA from 1 species
GACGAACGCUGGCGGCGUGCUUAACACAUGCAAGUCGAACGAUGAAGCUAGAGCUUGCUCUGGUGAAUUAGUGGCGAACGGGUGAGUAACACGUGAGUAACCUGCCCCGAACUCUGGGAUAACUGCUGGAAAUGGUAGCUAAUACUGGAUACGACCUACGAAGGCAUCUUCUGUAGGUGGAAAGAAUUUCGGUUCGGGAUGGACUCGCGGCCUAUCAGCUUGUUGGUGAGGUAAUGGCUCACCAAGGCGACGACGGGUAGCCGGCCUGAGAGGGUGACCGGCCACACUGGGACUGAGACACGGCCCAGACUCCUACGGGAGGCAGCAGUGGGGAAUAUUGCACAAUGGGCGCAAGCCUGAUGCAGCAACGCCGCGUGAGGGAUGACGGCCUUCGGGUUGUAAACCUCUUUUAGUAGGGAAGAAGCGAAAGUGACGGUACCUGCAGAAAAAGCACCGGCUAACUACGUGCCAGCCGCCGCUGUAA